GAUGUCUUCAAUCCAGGUAUUUGUCUGCUACUUUUCCAUCACGGAACAGUUUCUGGAUCCUCAGCCAGUGACGGGAGAACAGAGCCUGUGCCCCAUAGGGAAAAUGAAACUUUUCAUUGGGAAUGGUUUUUCCUAGCCCUUUGCUGUUGUAUGAAUCUGAGAAUAAGCUUUUUAUCUUUCUUGAAAAGCUCUGUUGAAAUUUUGAUUGCAGUUGUCCUGUUUUUAAUUUCAAAGCAAAGAUUCUAACUUUUCAUUCCUGCACAAAUUUGUUAUAGGUUUUUCGUAGAUGCUUUUCAACUGGUUAAGGGAGCUUUCUGUUCUUAGUUUACUUUGAGUUAUUGCCAUGAAGGGUUGUUGAAUUGUAUAAAAUAUUAUUUUGAAACUACUAAGACAUUAUAGUUCUUUAAUAUGUUGAUGUGGCCACUCUAGGGAUAAACAUUUUCUAACACCACUGUCCUGGCAUUCUGGGAUAAACCCAUUACCUGCCAUGGUUACAAUGUGGUUACAAUGUAUCAUGCUUAGAUCUGUGGCCUGCUGACAUACUAAUAUUUUAUUUCCUCUUUUUACAGUUACGUUCUGACUGACUUCUGAGUGAUAACGAUGCAGUCUUGUAUUGGUGUCAGCUGACAUCACACAGCGAGUUGGCCCACGUUCUCACUCUUCCCAUUUUCCAGAAGUGCUGAGUGCCUCUUGCAAUGAGCACAUGAAGAAGGAAUGAAGUGAAAAGAGUGAAGAACUUGGGGUGGGCAGAUUGAGUCCUGCUUUUGGUACCAGGGAUCGAACUCAGGACCUUGCCCUUGCAAGGCAGGCGGCUGAACCACUGAGCUACAUCCUCGGCUGAGUCCUGCUUUUGAACUUUAGGACAGAAAAUUGGAGCAUCCAUUAGAAAAUUGCUUCCACCCUGAUAUUAUCAGAUUAAAUAAAAUUGGGUUACUGC
rnacentral:lncRNA from 1 species